rnacentral:rRNA from 1 species
UACGUAGGGGGCAAGCGUUGUCCGGAUUCAUUGGGCGUAAAGAGCGUGUAGGCGGCCAGGUAGGUCGGUUGUGAAAACUGGAGGCUCAACCUUCAGAGGUCGACCGAAACCAUCUGGCUAGAGUCCGGGAGAGGAGAGUGGAAUUCCCGGUGUAGCGGUGAAAUGCGUAGAUAUCUGGAGGAACACCGGUGGCGAAGGCGGCAUCCUGGACCGAUACUGACGCUGAGGAGCGAAAGCCAGGGGAGCAAACGGG